rnacentral:rRNA from 1 species
AUGCAGAGAACUUUCCAGAGAUGAUUGGUGCCUUCGGGAACUCUGACACAGGUGCUGCAUGGCUGUCGUCAGCUCGUGUCGUGAGAUGUUGGGUUAAGUCCGUAACGAGCGCAACCCUUGUCCUUAGUUACCGGCACGUUAUGGUGGGCACUCUAAGGAGACUGCCGGUGACAAACCGGAGGAAGGUGGGGACGACGUCAAGUCCUCAUGGCCUUUAUGACCAGGGCUACACACGUACUACAAUGGCCGAUACAAAGGGCAGCGACACUGCGAGGUGAAGCCAAUCCCGUAAAAUCGGUCUCAGUCCGGAUUGGAGUCUGCAACUCGACUCCAUGAAGUUGGAAUCGCUAGUAAUCGUGGAUCAGCAUGCCACGGUGAAUACGUUCCCGGGCCUU